GACGAACGCUGGCGGCGUGCUUAACACAUGCAAGUCGAACGGAAAGGCCCUGCUUGCAGGGUGCUCGAGUGGCGAACGGGUGAGUAACACGUGGGUGAUCUGCCCCUUACUUUGGGAUAAGCCUGGGAAACUGGGUCUAAUACUGGAUAGGACCAUGCUGUAGGUGGUGUGGUGGAAAGAUUAGUUUCGGUAAGGGAUGAGCUCGCGGCCUAUCAGCUUGUUGGUGGGGUAAUGGCCUACCAAGGCGUCGACGGGUAGCCGGCCUGAGAGGGUGGACGGCCACAUUGGGACUGAGAUACGGCCCAGAGUCCUACGGGAGGCAGCAGUGGGGAAUAUUGCACAAUGGGCGCAAGCCUGAUGCAGCGACGCCGCGUGGGGGAUGACGGCCUUCGGGUUGUAAACUCCUUUCAGCCAUGACGAAGCCUUCGGGUGACGGUAGUGGUAGAAGAAGCACCGGCUAACUACGUG
rnacentral:rRNA from 1 species